rnacentral:rRNA from 1 species
GAUGAACGCUGGCGGUGUGCCUAAUACAUGCAAGUCGAGCGAACAGACGAGGAGCUUGCUCCUCUGACGUUAGCGGCGGACGGGUGAGUAACACGUGGAUAACCUACCUAUAAUACUGGGAUAACUUCGGGAAACCGGAGCUAAUACCGGCUAAUACAUUGAACCGCAUGGUUCAAUAGUGAAAGACGGUUUUGCUGUCACUUAUAGAUGGAUCCGCGCCGCAUUAGCUAGUUGGUAAGGUAACGGCUUACCAAGGCAACGAUGCGUAGCCGACCUGAGAGGAUGAUCGGCCACACUGGAACUGAGACACGGUCCAGACUCCUACGGGAGGCAGCAGUAGGGAAUCUUCCGCAAUGGGCGAAAGCUUGACGGAGCCACGCCGCGUGAGUGAUGAAGGUCUUCGGAUCGUAAAACUCUGUUAUUAGGGAAGAACAAAUGUGUAAGUAACUAUGCACGUCUUGACGGUACCUAAUCAGAAAGCCACGGCUAACUACGUG